rnacentral:lncRNA from 1 species
AGAUGCAGACACCUGUCAGAAGGGGGCUAAAUUUCAAACAAGGAACGUGGUGUUGCAUCACAAUAAGUGACUGAGUUCAAUAUGAUCAGAGCUGAACCAUUUCAAAAAGCAGCACAAGUGGCGACUGCCAGUAACCGACAAUAACCGAGUUUAAUCCCCCUCUUCUGCUCCUUCCCUCUGAUGGAAUUCUCAUUUUCCCUGGCCUCCCCCAUUGACAUUCAUCCAAUGCCCAUGCUGCUGGAUCAGUCUUCCUGGAGCCACAUCCAACUUAGAAAGAUGAAGGACUUCCAACCUUUUGGGAGAUGACAAUGUGUUAUCAAA